AGUGAACGCUGGCGGUAGGCCUAACACAUGCAAGUCGAACGGCAGCACAGUAAGAGCUUGCUCUUACGGGUGGCGAGUGGCGGACGGGUGAGGAAUACAUCGGAAUCUACUUUUUCGUGGGGGAUAACGUAGGGAAACUUACGCUAAUACCGCAUACGACCUACGGGUGAAAGCAGGGGAUCUUCGGACCUUGCGCGAUUGAAUGAGCCGAUGUCGGAUUAGCUAGUUGGCGGGGUAAAGGCCCACCAAGGCGACGAUCCGUAGCUGGUCUGAGAGGAUGAUCAGCCACACUGAAACUGAGACACGGUCCAGACUCCUACGGGAGGCAGCGGUGGGGAAUAUUGGACAAUGGGCGCAAGCCUGAUCCAGCCAUACCGCGUGGGUGAAGAAGGCCUUCGGGUUGUAAAGCCCUUUUGUUGGGAAAGAAAAGCAGCAGGUUAAUACCCCGCUGUUCUGACGGUACCCAAAGAAUAAGCACCGGCUAACUUCGU
rnacentral:rRNA from 1 species